rnacentral:rRNA from 1 species
AGUGAACGCUGGCGGCGUGCUUAACACAUGCAAGUCGAACGAGAACGGAUUAUAGCUUGCUAUAAUUGUCAGCUAAGUGGCGCACGGGUGAGUAAUGUAUAGUUAAUAUGCCUCUUACUAAGGGAUAACAAAUGGAAACGUUUGCUAAUACCUUAUACUCCUUAUUAACAUAAGUUAAUAAGGUAAAGAUUUAUUGGUAAGAGAUUAGCCUGUAUUGUAUCAGUUAGUUGGUGGGGUAAUGGCUUACCAAGACUAUGACACAUAACUGGUUUGAGAGGAUGAUCAGUCUCACUGGAACUGAGACACGGUCCAGACUCCUACGGGAGGCAGCAGUGGGGAAUAUUGCACAAUGGACGAAAGUCUGAUGCAGCAACGCCGCGUGGAGGAUGACACAUUUCGGUGCGUAAACUCCUUUUAUAUGAGAAGAUAAUGACGGUAUUAUAUGAAUAAGCACCGGCUAACUCCGUGCCAGCAGCCACGGUAA